UCCUCACCAAUUCCCCCAGUCUCUUCUCUUCUCUCUCUCACUCUCUUCCUCCUUUCUCAUAUUCUUCUGAAGUGAAACAUGUCCAAGGAGGCCACCUUUGUGUUCAUUUCUUUCCUUCUCUUUGCAUCUUUUCUAGCCCAUGCAGGAGGCAGGCCACUGCCGGUGGAUCCAAAAGAGACCAGUCUUCAGGGUGUUGAGAAGGAGAUGACUGAGAGAGUGGAAGAAUGCGUGGGAGUUGGGGAGGAUGAAUGCUUGAUGAGGAGGACCCUGGUUGCACACACUGACUACAUCUACACCCAGGAGCACCAUUAAGAUGGGUGGUUUAGUUCUUCGGCCUGUGGAUUGUCUGCCACAAGGAUUUCAUCUAUUAUUCUGCUUAAGCUGGAAUUGAUAAUAUUUGGGUUUUUAGAAUCUAAAGUUUUAGGAAACCUAAGAGAGAGAGAGAGAGAGAGAGAUAGAAUCAUCAUAUGCAUGCCAUGUAAAACUACUUGGAUUCUAUGUCUAUGUACUUCAGUGUUUAUGAAAUCCAACCUUAGAGAAGUUGUUUAA